UUUCCGUAGGUGAACCUGCGGAAGGAUCAUUAUUGUAUAACCGAGGUGCGAGGGCUGUCGCUGACCCGAAAGGUCGUGCACGCGCGACUGCCCUCACACACAUCCAUCUCACCCCUAUGUGCACCACCGCGUGGGUCCCCCUUUGGCUUGUUCGGAGGGGGGCUUACGUCUUCACACAAACUUUGUAUGCAGUGUAGAAUGUAUUUUUUGUUUUUGCGAUCCAGAAAUAAAUACAACUUUCAACAACGGAUCUCUUGGCUCUC
rnacentral:misc_RNA from 1 species